GUGGGGAAUAUUGGACAAUGGGCGAAAGCCUGAUCCAGCCAUGCCGCGUGUGUGAAGAAGGUCUUCGGAUUGUAAAGCACUUUAAGUUGGGAGGAAGGGUAGUAACCUAAUACGUUGCUACUUUGACGUUACCGACAGAAUAAGCACCGGCUAACUUCGUGCCAGCAGCCGCGGUAAUACGAAGGGUGCAAGCGUUAAUCGGAAUUAUUGGGCGUAAAGCGCGCGUAGGUGGUUCAGUAAGUUGGAAGUGAAAUCCCCGGGCUCAACCUGGGAACUGCUUUCAAAACUGCUGAGCUAGAGUACGGUAGAGGGUGGUGGAAUUUCCUGUGUAGCGGUGAAAUGCGUAGAUAUAGGAAGGAACACCAGUGGCGAAGGCGACCACCUGGACUGAUACUGACACUGAGGUGCGAAAGCGUGGGGAGCAAACAGGAUUAGAAACCCGGGUAGUCC
rnacentral:rRNA from 1 species